GGAAGGUUGGGCCUGAAGCCCGCUUCGCCAUCCAGGUGUAGAAGUAGUUCCGCGCUCCGCGUUUUGCAGACCGCCGCGGUGUCGGAGGCGAGGCGAGGAAGGGAGCUGGAAUAACAAAGGUUGGAUGACAACUAGACACAGAUGCUCUGCUCAGAACUCUCCCAGGUCACUAUGGAGUUCUGCUGCACUUGUCACCUUCACACUGAAGCCUAGGGAGCCAGAGACACUCCUGGGAGAUGUGGUGGAGCCAGCUCACACUGUAGGACCCCAGCCUCCUACAAGUGACUUCAGUUCAGCUCCUAUUGCCUGA
rnacentral:lncRNA from 1 species